CGGACAUCGGCCUCUCCGCACACUUUGUUGGAUCGCUCUUGAGUGAAAUAAAAGCUUGGUUUUGCCUUUGCUGAGUGAAACAGAACUUCGGUUUUGCCCUUGCUGG